rnacentral:tRNA from 1 species
GGCCACGUUGCUAAGUUGACAAGAGCUAAACUAAAGCCUUUCCCUUGGUGGUGUGGGUUCGAAUCCCACCAAGGCCG